rnacentral:rRNA from 1 species
UACGAAGGAUCCAAGCGUUGUCCGGAUUUACUGGGUUUAAAGGGUGCGUAGGCGGAUGAAUAAGUCAGUGGUGAAAGCCUGCAGCUUAACUGUAGAAUUGCCAUUGAAACUGUUCGUCUCGAAUGUGGUAGAGGUGGUUGGAAUGUAUCAUGUAGCGGUGAAAUGCUUAGAUAUGAUACAGAACACCGAUUGCGAAGGCAGAUCACUAUACCAUUAUUGACGCUGAGGCACGAAAGCGUGGGGAUCAAACAGG